GUAAAUGCCAUGAAGAGGAAUAGUAUUUGCGGACCUGUUGCAGAGAGCUGCCGGUUGGUGCGAGACAGCAGAUGGAAAGCAAUGAACUCACCUUGGAGCAGCUACCCCAAAGCUAUAUGGAAUCAGGAUUAUCAGAAUUAUGAUGUAUAUGGCAAGUAGACGUAGCCGGGAGCCGGCCGUUACAUCGGACAGGAUAUAAUGUAUAUAUAUACACGUAUCCGGUGAGAGCACAGGAAACUGUGAAUUAGAGUGGUAUCGCGUGAGAUUAUAUGUCUUUCGUCUCUUAC
rnacentral:ncRNA from 1 species